AAAACAGUAACAAAAAUAUUUUGAAGAGAUGAAACUGAAGAGAUAAAAUUCAAGAAGCAGAAAGGAGAAAAAGCAGACUGGAAGGAAAUUUGCUUCUAUGUUAGAAUGGAGAAAGAACAAAAACCCUAAUGAGACUUAUCGAUCACUUGUCCUGAAAGUCUCACUAGAGAUCCAGACUGACUCAAGUUCUAUGCAAAUGAUCUUUGAAAGAAAAAUGUUUUGUGAAAUCAGGAAGAGACAUGUGGAAUAAGGAAGAAAAAAGAGUGAAGCAUGAGUGAGAGUGAAAAUGAGAAUUAAAGGUAAUGUGCUGAUCUGUGCAGGUGAAAGUCAUUAGAAAGCAGAAAGAAGAGAACUGUGACCACUUGUUUCUUGUGUCCCACCACUUGGAA